rnacentral:lncRNA from 10 species
CAGAUAUAAGCUUAGUUCAGGCUAUUAUAACAAAUGAUCAUAGACUGGGUAUCUUAAACAAGAAAAUUUUACUUCUCACAGUUCUGGAUGCUGGAAAGUCCAUGAUCCAAGAGCCAGCAAAUCUAGUGUCUGGUGAAGGUCUGCUUCCUGGUUUGCAAAUGACUGUCUUUUCAUCUUUUUUGGAUAAAUAUUUGUGGAUGGGCAGGUUGUUCUUCCAUGUGUAUGUAAGUUGACCUCAGUUGGCAACUAUUUGAAUGUAUUGCUGAAGUUAUUACUUUGACUUAGUUAAGAAUGGCUUUAUUUUUUCCACCUGAAGAAGUUAAAAAAAUGCCCAUUGUAUUCAUUUUCAUGCACGUCUGUGUGAAGAGACCACCAAACAGGCUUUGUGUGAGCAAUAAAGCUGUUUAUUCUGGGUGCAGGCGGGCUGAGUCCGAAAAGAGAGUCAGCGAAGGGAGAUAAGGGUGGGGCCGUUUUAUAGGAUUUGGGUAGGUAAAGGAAAAUUACAGUCAAAGGGGGUUUGUUCUCUGGCGGGCAGGAGUAGGGGUCGCAAGGUGCUCAGUGGGGGUGCUUUCUGAGCCAGGAUGAGCCAGGAAAAGGACUUUCACAAGGUAAUGUCAUCAGUUAAGGCAAGGACCGGCCAUUUACACUUCUUUUGUGGUAGAAUGUCAUCAGUUAAGGUGGGGCAGGGCAUAUUCACUUCUUUUGUGAUUCUUCAGUUACUUCAGGCCAUCUGGGCGUAUACGUGCAAGUCACAGGGGAUGCAAUGGCUUGGCUUGGGCUCAGAGGCCUGACAUUCCUGCCUUCUUAUAUUAAUAAGAAAAAUAAAAUAGUGUUGAAGUGUUGGGGCGGCGAAAAUUUUUGGGGGGUGGUAUGGAGAGAGAAUGGGCGAUGUUUCUCAGGGCUGCUUCAAGCGGGAUUAGGGGCGGCGUGGGAACCUAGAGUGGGAGAGAUUAAGCUGAAGGGAGGUCUUGUGGUAAGGGGUGAUAUUGUGGGGAUGUUAGAAGAAACAUUUGUCGUAUAGAAUGAUUGGUGAUGGCCUGGAUACGGUUUUGUAUGAAUUGAAAAACUAAAUGGAAUAACAGAAGGAGAAAAACAGGUAUAAAAGGUCUAAGAAUUGGGAGGACCUAGGACAUCUGAUUAGAGAGUGCCUAAGGAGAUUCAGCAUAGUCCUGCCAGCAAAGAUUAUUUAUUUACUUCAAGAGUUAAGAGUGGCGGUUUGGGGAUAGCACCAGGAGAUAUCAGCUGUGAUGGCUUGGAGAAACAGUGUAAACCGGCACUGUAAGUAAGAGCAGGGCACGUAUGAGUAGUUGAGAACGGUGAAUAGGAGUAUGACUAGACAAAAGAUAGUAGGGAUGACAAGUUUUUUUGGGGCACAGUCUAAGUUGGUCUGGUGUCGAAUGAGACUGGGGCCCAAUAAAAAGGAGCGUCUAUACAGGAGCUUAAAUGGGCUGUACCUUGUAACAUUCUGAGGACAGGCCUGAAUUCUGAGAAGCGAAAGUGGUAAAAGUAUUUAUUGUCCAGUCCUUUUUAAGUUGGUGGCUGAGCUUGGUGAGGUGUGUUUUUAAAAGACCUGUAGUCCGUUCUACUUUUCUUGAAGACGGAGGACCGUAAGGGAUAUAAAGGUUUCACUGAAUACUAAGAGCCUGAAAAACUGCUUGGCUGAUUUGACUAAUAAAGGCUGGUCUGUUACCAGACUGUAUAGAGGUGGGAAGGCUAAACUGAGGAAUUAUGUCUGACAGAAGGGAAGAAAUGACUGCGGUGGCCUUCUCAGACCCUGUAGGAAAGGCCUUUACUUAUUCAGUGAAAGUGUCUAUUUAGACUAAGAGGUAUUUUAGUUUCCUGACUUGGGCAUGUUGAGUAAAGCUAAUUUGCCAGUCCUGGGUGGGGGCAAAUCCUUGAGCUUGAUGUGUAGGGAAGGGAGGGGGGCCUGAAUAAUCCCUGAGGAGUAGUAGAAUAGCAGAUGGAACACUGAGAAGUUAUUUCCUUGAGGAUAGAUUUCCAGGAUGGAAAGGAAAUGAGAGGUUCUGAGAGGUGGGUUAGCGGCUUAUACUAUAGCAUAGCCUGCCUUUGCUGGUGUGUGGCGAUUAGGCCUGGUGGAACUACCAUCAAUAAAUCAAGCGUGAUCAGGGUGAGAAACAGGAAAGAAGGAAAUAUGGGGAAAUGGGGUGAAUAUUAGCUGGAUCAGAGAGAUACAGUCAUGGGGGUCAGGUGUGGUAUCAGGAAUAAUGUGAGAGGCCAGAUUGAAGUCCGGGCCAGGAACAAUGGUAAUUGUGGGACUUAAAGAGUGACUACAGCUGAAGGAGCCGGGGAGCAGAAAGUAUAUGCGUCAGGUAUGAGGAAGAAAAUAGAUUUUGGAAGUUAUGAGAAAUGUAGAGAGUGAAUUGAGCAUAGUUUGUGAUUUUUAGGGCCUCUAACAGUAUUAAAGCAGCGGCAGCCGCUGCACGCAGACAUGAGGGCUAGGCUAAAACAGUAAGGUCAAGUUGUUUGGACGGAAAGGCUACAGGGUGCGAUCCUGGCUCUUGUGUAAGAAUUCUGACCGCACUAACCAUGCCUAGGAAGGAAAGGAGUUGUUGUUUUGUAGAAGGUGCUGGGGUUUGAGAGAUCAGUCGGACACGAUUGGCAGGGAGUGCACGUGUGUUUUUAUGAGAAUUAUGCCGAGAUAGGUAACAGAUGAGGAAGAAAUUUGGGCUUGAUUGAAGUAAUGGGGGCUGUCUGUGAAGCUUUGCGGCAGUACAGCCUAGGUAAUUUGCUGAGCUUGAUGGGUGUCAGGGUCAGUCCAAGUGACAGCGAAGAGAGGCUGGGAUUAAGGGUGCAAAGAAAUAGUAAAGAAAGCAUGUUUGAGAUCUAGAACAGAAUAAUGAGUUAUAGAGGCAGGUAUUGAUAGGAGAGUAUAUGUGUUUGGCACCACGGGGUGGAUAGGCAAAACAAUUUGGUUGAUAAGGCGCAGAUCCUGAACUAACUUGUAAGGCUUGUCUGGUUUUAGGACAGGUAAAAUGGGGGAAUUGUAAGGAGAGUUUAUAGGCUUUAAAAGGCCAUGCUGUAGCAGGCGAGUGAUAACAGGCUUUAAUCUUUUUAAAGCAUGCUGCGGGAUGGGAUAUUGGCGUUGAGUGGGGUAAGGGUGAUUAGGUUUUAAUGAGAUGAUAAGGGGUGCAUGAUCAGUCGCCAAGGAGGGAGCAGAGGUAUCUUAUACUUGUGGGUUAAGGUGGGGGGAUACAAGAGGAGGACGCAAAGGAGGCUUUGGAUUGGGAAGAAGGGCGGCAACGAGAUAUAGUUGUAGUCCAGGAAUAGUCAGGGAAGCAGAUAAUUUAGUUAAAGUGUCUCAGCCUAAUAAGGGAACUGGGCAGGUGGGGAUAACUAAAAAGGAGUGCUUAAAAGAGUAUUGUCUAAGUUGGCACCAGAGUUGGGGAGUUUUAAGAGGUUUAGAAGCCUGGCCGUCAAUACCCACAACAGUUAUGGAGGCAAGGGAAACAGGCCCUUGACAAGAAGGUAAUGUGGAGUGGGUAGCCUCCGUAUCGAUUAAGAAGGGGACGGGCUUACAUUCCACUGUGAGAGUUACCCAAAGCUCGGCGUCCGUGAUGGUCUAGGGGGCUUCCGAGGCGAUCGGGCAGUGUCAGUCUUCAGCCGCUAAGCCGAGAAGAUCUGGGAAGGAGUCAGUCAGAGAGCCUUGGGCCAGAGUUCCAGGGGCUCUGGGAUUGGCUGCCAGGUGAGUUGAACAGUCCGAUUUUCAGUGGGGUCCCACACAGAUGGGACGUGGCUUAGGAGGAAUCCCGGGCUGCGGGCAUUCCUUGGCCCAGUGGCCAGAUUUCCGGCAAGUGUAGCAAGCUCCUGGGGGAGGAGGUUCUGGAGGAAGGCCUGGCCGCUGCAGUUCAGGCAUUUGGAAGUUCUUGUGUGCUGCAGAUGCGGCUGGGGUUUGUCUCACAGUGGAGGCAAGGAAUUGCAACUUUUUUCUGUUAUUGUACACCUUGAAGGUGAGGUUAAUUAAGUCCUGUUGUGGGGUUUGAGGGCCAGAUUCUAAUUUUUGGAGUUUUAUUUAAUGUUGGGAGCAGAUUGGGUAAUAAAAUGUAUAUUGAGAAUAAGACGGCCUUUAGACCUUUUAGGGUCUAGGGCUGUAAAGCGUCUCAGGGUUGCUGCCAAACGAGCCAUGAACUGGGCUGCAUUUUUAUAUUUGAUGAAAAAGAGCCUAAACGCUUCUGAUUUGGGAUAAAGAAAAAGGAGCAUUAACCUUGACUAUGCCUUUGGCUCCAGCCACCUUUUUAAGAGUAAAUUGCUGGGCAGGUGGGGGAGGGCUAGUCACGGAACGAAACUGUAAGCCGGACCAGGUGUGAGGAGGAGAGGUGAUAAAAGGAUUAUAGGGUGGAGGAGCAGAGGCUGAGGAAGAAUUGGGACCUAGAUCGGCCUGGAGAGGAGCAGCCUGGGGAGGAAGGGAGAGGUCAGAUGGGUCUGUAGAAAACGAAGAUUAGAAAGACUCAGCGACGCUUGGGGUUGGUACUGAGGGGACAGGCAGGAGGGAAAGAAGCAAGAUUUGGGACGAGUUGCACUGGGCACAGAGACUAGGAAGGGACUGAUGUGUAAAAGAAUGCCUGGACGUCAGGCACCUCAGACCAUUUGCCUAUUUUACAAGAAUUAUUUAGAUCUUGCAGGAUGGAAAAAUUCAAAGUGCCAUUUUCUGGCUAUUUGGAAUUACUGUUGAGUUUGUAUUGGGGUCAAGCGGCAUUGCAGAAGAAAAUAAGGCAUUUAGGUUUUAGGUUAGGUGUAAGUUGAAGAGGUUUUAAGUUUUUGAGAACACAGGCUAAGGGAGAAGGAGGAGGAAUGGAGGGUGGAAGGUUGCCCAUAGUGAAGGAGGCAAACCCAGAGAAAAGAGAGCAUAGAGACACGGAGGGAAGGGGUUCGGGGGUUCUUACCCUCCUGAAAAGUGGGAAGGGGGGUCGGGGCACGGAAAUAAGGCAUUGGGGCACAGAGAUAAGAGGUUGGGGUGCGGAAAUAAGGGAUUGUGGGGGUUCUUGCACCCUAGAAAAGCGGGACUUGUCACUAAGGGUGAAGGAGAAGGGGUUGAGGGGUACUUGCCCCUGCCCCAGGAAAGCAGAGAAGGGGUAGAGACAAGGAGAGAAGGUGUUGGGGUACCGGCACCAAAUUUCAUGCGCGUCCGUGUGAAGAGACCACUAAACAGGCUUUGUGUGAGCAACAUGGCUGUUUAUUUCACCUGGGUGCAGGCGGGCUGAGUCCGAAAAGAGAGUCAGGGAAGGGAGAUAAGGGUGGGGCCGUUUUAUAG